CUCCUGUGUUUGCAGAGACAGAGUCUGGAGAUGUUUAUGUUUUGUCAUUUGGCUUCUAGGUCUUUGGCGUGUGUUCCUCUUCUAGAAUCUGAUUCAUUUCCACUCUGUCAAAAGAUUCCAGAGAUGGGUUUGAAUUCUUCUCUCCUGGGCCUAUGCAAAAAAAUAUAAUACACAUGUAUUAUCACCAGAGUUCAGGAACUUGUCCUUCCACAUAACUAGCCGGCCCUGUGACCAUUUAAGUCUUGAUGGCACCCAUGGACAUCAGUCAGAGAAAUAAAGAAAUAUUGGUAACGUCAAAAUCCUAUCCCGUCUCACUUCUCAGAUUAUAUUUCCAUAAAUGGACCCUACAAAUUUAGAGUUAGUGUGCAUAUGAAAUAGUCAUCUUAAUUUUGGAAAACUAUUCUAUAAAACAAAAUUGCAAGGAAAGAAAUAUUAAGCACCUGGAGAAUGAGUAAUGCCGGUGGGGGGAGGGAAACAUAAUUUGAAUAAAUCCCCAUGGUGGAUGAAAGGAGAAAUAAUAAAGCCAAGUCACUUUCAUGUCUAUAUAGCAUUGUAAAUUUGAUAUGUACUUUCAUU
rnacentral:lncRNA from 1 species